AUUAUAUUAUAUUAUAUUAUAUUAUAUUAUAUUAUAUUCACAAACACAGAUUUAUCAUAAGGAAUUGGUUCAUGAAUUAUGGGGGCUGGUAAGUCCCAUGAUUGGCAAGGUGUGCCACAGCUGAGGAGCCUUUCCCUUUCCAAUGGUCCCAUCCCCCCACUAGGCCCUCCAGAUCCUCCUGUGGGAUGCUGUCUACCCUUCUCCAGUCCAAGCCAGCUUGUCUCCUCCAACCCAGCUCCAGAAACAGUUUCAUGUGAUGCUGUGGAAAAGACAGACACCUCCUGGAGAAGAGACUGACAAAUCAUGGCCUACUGUGGUUUUGAGCAAGCUGGGUGAACCUAGUCAAAGGAUGAGGUACAAAGAGAAUAUGAGGUAUCCAUCAGUCAAGGCCUUGUCUCAGCUGGUCACUUUCAGUUAGGGGUUGGGGAGUUGGCUUAGUUGUGCAGCUUGAACAGAUGAUAUCACUGAACUGAAGUGUGUGAUGCCACCCGUUGAAGGCCUGAAUUGUGCUCCCCCUCAAUUCAUAUGUUGACAUCCUAACCUCAGACGUUAGGUCAACCUUAGAUGUUGACUUCCAGUAUCUCAGAAUGUGGCUAUAUUUGCAGAUAGGGUCUUGAGAGGUAAUUAAGGUAAAGUGACAUCAUAUGGAUGGUCCGAAUCAAACAUGACUAUGUUCUUAUAAGAAGAGAUCAGAACACAGACACACACAGAUGAAAGACUAUGUGAAGACACAGGGAGACAUGGCCAUCUACAAGCCAAGAAGAGAAACCUCAAAAGAAACCCAUCCUGUUGCCACCUCCAUCUCAGACUUGCAACCUCCAGAAUUGUGAGAAAAUAAAGUUCUAUUGUUUAA